rnacentral:rRNA from 1 species
UGGGGAAUAUUGCACAAUGGAGGAGACUCUGAUGCAGCGACGCCGCGUGAGUGAAGAAGGUCUUCGGAUCGUAAAACUCUGUCCUUGGUGAAGAAAGAAAUGACGGUAGCCAAGGAGGAAGCCCCGGCUAACUACGUGCCAGCAGCCGCGGUAAUACGUAGGGGGCGAGCGUUGUCCGGAUUUACUGGGCGUAAAGGGUGAGUAGGCGGUGAUAUGUGUCAGAUGUAAAAGGCUAUGGCUUAACUAUAGUUAGCAUUUGAAACUGUAUUACUUGAGUGCAGGAGAGGUAAGUGGAAUUCCUAGUGUAGCGGUGAAAUGCGUAGAUAUUAGGAGGAACACCAGUGGCGAAGGCGACUUACUGGACUGUAACUGACGCUGAGUCACGAAAGCGUGGGUAGCAAACA